rnacentral:rRNA from 1 species
GACGAACGCUGGCGGCGUGCUUAACACAUGCAAGUCGUGGGCACCAGCAAUGGUGACCGGCGAACGGGUGCGUAACACGUGAGCGACCUACCGAUUUGUGGGGGAUAGCCGGCCCAACGGCCGGGUAAUACCGCAUACGCCGAGCUUGCCGCAUGGCUUGCUCGGGAAACCUCCGGGGCGAAAUCGAGGGGCUCGCGGCCUAUCAGCUAGUUGGCGAGGUAAUGGCUCACCAAGGCGACGACGGGUAGCUGGUCUGAGAGGAUGGCCAGCCACAUUGGGACUGAGAAACGGCCCAGACUCCUACGGGAGGCAGCAGUGGGGAAUCUUGCACAAUGGCCGAAAGGCUGACGCAGCGACGCCGCGUGUGGGAUGAAGCUCUUCGGGGGUGUAAACCACUGUUGCCCGGGACGAACGGCGAGAUUUAUCUCGCGUGACGGUACCGGGUGAGGAAGCACCGGCUAACUCCGUGCCAGCAGCCGCGGUAAU